AUUGAACGCUAGCGGGAUGCCUUACACAUGCAAGUCGAACGGAGUGGCGAACGGGUGAGUAAUGUAUCGGAACGUGCCCAGUAGCGGGGGAUAACUACGCGAAAGCGUAGCUAAUACCGCAUACUAUUGGAGCGGCCGAUAUCGGAUUAGCUAGUUGGUGGGGUACCGGCUCACCAAGGCCACGAUGCAUAGCCGACCUGCGAGGGUGAUCGGCCACACUGGGACUGAGACACGGCCCAGACUCCGACGGGAGGCAGGAGUGGGGAAUUUUGGACAAGGGGGGAAACCCUGAUCCAGCCAUCGCGCGUGUGCGAUGAAGGCCUUCGGGUUGUAAAGCACUUUUGGCAGGAAAGCGGUACCUGCAGAAUAAGCACCGGCUAACUACGUGCCAGCCGCCGCGGUAAUUC
rnacentral:rRNA from 1 species